UAUGCUAUUUAUAUAUAGAAAAAUAUGUUAUAACUAUACAAUAAACAUACACAAUAAAUCUUAUGUAUUUUUAAUGUUAGCUUUCAUAUUAUUACUCCAAAUGUAUAUGCCCCUAGAAUCAAUUAACGUUGAAAUAUAUUGCAAAUUAUUUUCGCAUUCUAGUAUAUAUACAAAAGAAGCACCCGGGCCCCAAGGCUCCUAGUUUCACCCGGGCCCCAAGGUUGCUGCUCUGUUGCUAUGUUGUGCUGCGCGCUGGUCGUUGGGCCGCUAUCCAUCCCCCACUAGGCUGGGCCAAGCCUCUCUGGACGAUGACAAGCCGCACAACAUAUUCAACAUUUCUGGAACUAUCUUUAUACCUUUUCAUGGAAAUAAAGCCAUUUAAAUUAAUAUUUGAUGUUGAAUUGUAAGCGUGUGAUAUAUUGCUUCAAAAAUCUUGGAAUAAUUUUGGUAGCUUCCCAAUAGUAUUGGAAGAAAAAAUAUAGGGUGUCCAAGAGAUUCCACCAAGUGAUAGUCCCUCAAUUUAAAUAGGCCAAAAUCUAUGCAGUUUAAUAAAUUUUGUGUUU